rnacentral:rRNA from 1 species
AUUGAACGCUGGCGGCAUGCUUUACACAUGCAAGUCGAACGGCAGCGCGGGCUUCGGCCUGGCGGCGAGUGGCGAACGGGUGAGUAAUCCAUCGGAACGUGCCCAGUAGUGGGGGAUAGCCCGGCGAAAGCCGGAUUAAUACCGCAUACGACCUGAGGGUGAAAGCGGGGGACCGAAAGGCCUCGCGCUAUUGGAGCGGCCGAUGUCGGAUUAGCUAGUUGGUGGGGUAAAGGCUUACCAAGGCGACGAUCCGUAGCUGGUCUGAGAGGACGACCAGCCACACUGGGACUGAGACACGGCCCAGACUCCUACGGGAGGCAGCAGUGGGGAAUUUUGGACAAUGGGGGCAACCCUGAUCCAGCCAUGCCGCGUGCGGGAAGAAGGCCUUCGGGUUGUAAACCGCUUUUGUUCGGGAAGAAAUCCUCUGGGCUAAUACCCCGGGGGGAUGACGGUACCGGAAGAAUAAGCACCGGCUAACUACGUG